rnacentral:tRNA from 1 species
ACCAAAGGAUAGUAGUAUUCC